AUGAACGCUAGCGGCAGGCUUAAUACAUGCAAGUCAAGGGGGUAGCAAUACAACCGGCGCACGGGUGAGUAACGCGUACACAACAUACCAUAUACUGGAGUAUAGCCUUGGGAAACUGAGGGUAAUCCUCCAUAAUAUUGCGAGAGGGCAUCUGAUUGCAAUUAAAGUCACAACGGUAUAUGAUUGGUGUGCGUUUGAUUAGCUAGUUGGUAGGGUAACGGCCACCAAGGCUACGAUCAAUAGCUGGCGUGAGAGCGCGACCAGCCACACUGGAACUGAGACACGGUCCAGACUCCUACGGGAGGCAGCAGUAGGGAAUAUUGGACAAUGGGUGAAGCCUGAUCCAGCCAUGCCGCGUGAUAGAUGAA
rnacentral:rRNA from 1 species